rnacentral:rRNA from 1 species
GCCAGAGGGGGCGAGCGUUAUCCGGAAUUAUUGGGCGUAAAGGGUACGUAGGCGGCUGGUCAAGUCUGGGGUCAAAGGCCACAGCUCAACUGUGGAAAGGCCCUGGAAACUGACCGGCUAGAGUGAGGUAGGGGUUGCGGGAAUUCCCGGUGUAGCGGUGAAAUGCGUAGAGAUCGGGAAGAACACCUGAGGCGGAAGCGCGCAACUGGGCCUCAACUGACGCUGAGGUACGAAAGCUAGGGGAGCGAAUGGG